UACGUAGGCAGCGAGCGUUGUUCGGAGUUACUGGGCGUAAAGGGUGCGUAGGCGGUUGUUUAAGUUUGGUGGGAAAUCUCCCGGCUCAACUGGGAGGGUGCGCCGAAUACUGAAUGACUAGAGUGCGGGAGAGGAGAGUGGAAUUCCUGGUGUAGCGGUGAAAUGCGUAGAUAUCAGGAGGAACACCUGUGGCGAAGGCAGCUCGCUGGGACGUUACUGACGCUGAGACGCGAAAGCGUGGGGAGCAAACAGG
rnacentral:rRNA from 1 species